UGUCACAGCAAUAAUGUAAUUGUUGGGGAUUGCUGAUGGCGUCGUAGUUCUGGUUAGCAGUGACAGAGGUUGAAACACUUUUGCCAGCCUGGAAGGAAGACUCGGUGCUCCUGCCUUGUUCUGUCAGAUGGUUGAAGUGUCCCCGAACAGCUGUUAGGCUCACUGUUACACCUGCGAAGUUUGUUAGUGUGGAAACUGCUGGAGAGAAAAUACCUCUCCCGGUGGCAGGCCGACUGGAGUCGGCACAGUGACCCCUUCAAAUUUUAAUUAACUGGGAGCAGAUGCACAGAAGACAAAGGUUCAAUAAAGGACAAAUUGGGAACGAUGAAAGACCCGAAAGAAUGAGAGAUUUGGAGAGCUCUAAACUGUUCCGCGCGCAAAUCCGCUGAAGAUGAAAUCGCCGUGCUGUGCCGCGUGUGCUCCGCGAGACUGGCUGUACCCUUUGCACUUCAGGAAGAAACCAUCUCAUCAUUACUGUAAACCCCUGCGGCUAUUUCCCGCCCACCAAUUUGAGCUCGAAUACAUCAUUUUAUGUCUUUCCUUCUGUCCUGUUCCAGUUCUCUUUUUCAUACACACACACACACACACACACAUAUGAGAGAAGAACAAGAACAUAAAAUGAACAAUAAACACAAAGAAGAAAAAAAGUGCCUGGCGUGGUGCUUGGUUAUUAUUUGUCAUAGCUGUAGUAGUUGUGUUAAUAGCAUUUGUAACAUUUCUUCCCAUAGUUAAUUCAUACCGUCAAUAAAUUCCAUUCCUCACACUG